GAUAAACGCUAGCGGCAGGCUUAACACAUGCAAGUCGAGGGGCAGCAUAGAUUGUAGCAAUACAAUUGGUGGCGACCGGCGCACGGGUGCGUAACGCGUAUGCAACCUACCCGUCACAGGGGGAUAAUCCGGAGAAAUCUGGUCUAAUACCCCAUAACAUAUGGAUCGGCAUCGGUUCAUGUUGAAAUUUUCGGAGGUGACGGAUGGGCAUGCGUAGCAUUAGCUUGUUGGUGAGGUAACGGCUCACCAAGGCGACGAUGCUUAGGGGGACUGAGAGGUUUUCCCCCCACACUGGUACUGAGGCACGGACCGGACUCCUACGGGAGGCAGCAGUGAGGAUAUUGGUCAAUGGGCGCAAGCCUGAACCAGCCAUGCCGCGUGCAGGAUGACGGCUCUAUGAGUUGUAAACUGCUUUUGUACGAGGGUAAAGUGGGUUACGUGUAACCUUUUGAAAGUAUCGUACGAAUAAGGAUCGGCUAACUCCGUGCCAGCCGCCGCAGUAA
rnacentral:rRNA from 1 species